AUUUAGGAAGUUGCCUCUGCGUGUGUGUGUGUGUGUGUGUGUGUGUGUGUGUGUGUGUGUGUGUGUGUGUGUGUGUACAUUUAUAUGUGGGGAUGGGUGUAUACUUUCCGUAUUGUCUGUCUUUGCUAAGCCCUCUGGAUUACAUUUUCUGGGUAUUCUAAGUGACGUUUGAACAAAAUUUGAUUUGAUUUCAAUUUUUCUUAAUCGUCACUUCGUUUUCUGAAAAAAAUAUCUAAUCAUGUCUGGUGAUUGUUGAUGUCCUUGUCCAGCCUUUUGUCUCCUCUCAGCCCCCCUUCCCUCCAGCACUCAAAUGUCAGUUUGAUGUCCUGAGAGUUGAAAAGCACACGUAGUGACGAACACUCAGUGUGCGUUGAUGUUAUUGGAUAAUAAGUAGGAUGAUAUUUCCUAAAGUGGGCGGCACGGUGGUCAAGUGGUUAGCGCGUCGACCUCACAGUGCAGAGGUGCAGGGUUCGAUUCCGGCUCUGUCCUUCCUGUGUGGGGUUUGCAUGUUCUCCCCAGGCCUGUGUGGGUUUUCUCCGGGUGAUCCGGUUUCCUCCCAUAUUCCAAAAACGUGCAUGGCAGGCUGAUUGAACUCUCAAACUUGUCACUCAGUGUGAGUGUGAGCGCGGACGUUUGUUCGUCUCUGCGUACCCUGCAAUUAGCUGGCAACCGGUUCAGGGUGUCUCCCACCGACUGCGCAAAGACCACCGGGAUAGGCUCCAGCACCCCCCCCCCCCCCCCCGGCAGUCCUUGUAAGGAUAAAGCGGAUCGGAAAAUGAAUGAAUGAAUGUUUCCCAAAGUGGCAAUCACUAGUAAUCUUUGUAAAAGUGCUCUAUAAAUACAGUUGAGUUGAGAUAUCUCUUUCUGUCCCAAGUAUUUUGAGUUCAUGGUUUAACGGGAGGUAAUUCCAGUGUCGAAAUGCGACCAGCAGCAACAGGCCUGGUCCGCUCUCCGCAAGCAGAUCUGCAAUGUCAUAAACAAGUCACGGUGCCAAAUAUCAACCCUCAUCAAAGCUCUCUAUACACCCCGCCACCCAGUGGAUACUAGUCAAGGGAAAUCCAAAGCAAAUAUUGGGGAGAGGACCUUAUUUGUGCAUGCAAAAGAAUAAGAAAAAUAAAUAAAACACUAUUCUUAAAUAUUUUGCUCGAAAUAAAGUCAGGCAGCAUUGUGGCACCAAGACACACAACAAUGGUCAUUACCUCCCUGUUCAUGAAAGAAAUUCAUGAUAAAGAAAGAAAAAUAAUAAUAAUCAAAAUAAAUUUAAUUGACACAAAGAUGAUACUACCCUGAACUAUAAGCAUACAAAUUGUUUUCAUUCUUUUCUCGAGGUACCAUCAUUUUUGUCCAUGCUGAUUUCACGUGUUUGUCUCUGGUUUCAAAUAAUUUUGUUGAACUAUAAUUUUAAACAAUGUCUAAUUUUCAUUGGUUAUCAUUUCUUAUUUAAUGUCACUAUUGUUUUUUUAAUUUUAUUUUUUAUACAUUUUUUUUCGUUUAAUAACAGAGGGCCACCAACAAUUUUGCCCAUGUGUGUAUGUGUUGGAACAUCUUUGUCCUUUGGGUCCCCUGACUCUUACGAAGCACAAAGGACUGUGCACAUGUUGUCACACAAAGCCACCUGCUGAGCAUCCGAUCAAGCCAACAUUUAGCAAUGCAAAACAAAAACCAGAAGAGCACAUGGUCUGUUGAAGCAACAUCACAUCUCACAUGAUGCUGGCACACGUGAUGACAUGUUCAAAUGUUAAAACUGUUUUUGGCUCGUUCCAACUCAGACACCCCUCCACCGUAUAACUUCAACAUUUUUCAUCCUGCUGAGACAUUUGCAUUCAAGAAAUUGCAAAUCACGUUUGAUUUGUCACUUAUUUUAAUAUCAGCGCUUAUCAUGUUCUACCUCAUGAUUGUUUUUACUAUACUGUACUGUAACUCUUUAUUUAUUUGGCAUAUUUAAAGAAACAAAGUUGAACCAAGGACGGCACAGUGGUCAACACGUUGGCCUCACAGUGCAGGUCCAGGGUUCAAAACCAGCUCUGGCCUUCUUAUGUGGAUUUUGCAUGUUCUUCCCGUGCCUGUUUGGCUUUUGUCUGGCUUUGCCGGUUUUCCUCCCACAUACCUAAAUCAGGUUAAUGGAAUACUCAAAAUUGUCCCCAAGUGUGAUUGUGAGCGCGAAUGGUUGUUCGUCUAUGUGUGCCCUGCGAUUGCCGGGCAGCCAGUUCAGGGUGCAAUGUAUGGGAAAUUCUUCAGAAAAAACACAAACAAAA